rnacentral:rRNA from 1 species
GCAGGCUGCAACCCGCCUGUAUGAAGUUGGAAUCGCUAGUAAUCGCGGAUCAGCAUGCCGCGGUGAAUACGUUCCCGGGCCUUGUACACACCGCCCGUCACACCAUGAGAGUCGGGAACACCCGAAGUCCGUAGCCUAACCGCAAGGGGGGCGCGGCCGAAGGUGGGUUCGAUAAUUGGGGUGAAGUCGUAACAAGGUACC